rnacentral:tRNA from 1 species
CAAGUUAAUCUAUGGUAGAAUUUUCACUUACAUUGAAGAUAUGGUUGAUGCAAUUUCAAUCUAGCUUGA